UACGUAUGGGGCAAGCGUUAUCCGGAUUUACUGGGUGUAAAGGGAGCGCAGGCGGCCUGGCAAGCCUGAUGUGAAAUACCGGGGCCCAACCCCGGGGCUGCAUUGGGAACUGCCAGGCUGGAGUGCCGGAGAGGCAGGCGGAAUUCCUAGUGUAGCGGUGAAAUGCGUAGAUAUUAGGAGGAACACCAGUGGCGAAGGCGGCCUACUGGACGGUGACUGACGCUGAGGCUCGAAAGCGUGGGGAGCAAACAGG
rnacentral:rRNA from 1 species